UACGAAGGGGGCUAGCGUUGCUCGGAAUGACUGGGCGCAAAGGGCGCGUAGGCGGAUGGCACAGUCAGAUGUGAAAUUCCCGGGCUUAACCUGGGGGCUGCAUUUGAUACGUGUGAUCUAGAGUGAGGAAGAGGGUCGUGGAAUUCCCAGUGUAGAGGUGAAAUUCGUAGAUAUUGGGAAGAACACCGGUGGCGAAGGCGGCGACCUGGUCCUUGACUGACGCUGAGGCGCGAAAGCGUGGGGAGCAAACAGG
rnacentral:rRNA from 1 species